ACGAACCGCUCGUCCAUUGCGGUUCCUGCGUGCCGUCCGCAGCCACCUGACCCACUGCCCGCGACGUCUUUUUAGCA
rnacentral:sRNA from 1 species